rnacentral:rRNA from 2 species
CUGCAUGGAGCCGGCCUUGAAAUACCACCCUUUAAUGUUUGAUGUUCUAACGUGGACCCGUGAUCCGGGUUGCGGACAGUGUCUGGUGGGUAGUUUGACUGGGGCGGUCUCCUCCUAAAGAGUAACGGAGGAGCACGAAGGUUGGCUAAUCCUGGUCGGACAUCAGGAGGUUAGUGCAAUGGCAUAAGCCAGCUUGACUGCGAGCGUGACGGCGCGAGCAGGUGCGAAAGCAGGUCAUAGUGAUCCGGUGGUUCUGAAUGGAAGGGCCAUCGCUCAACGGAUAAAAGGUACUCCGGGGAUAACAGGCUGAUACCGCCCAAGAGUUCAUAUCGACGGCGGUGUUUGGCACCUCGAUGUCGGCUCAUCACAUCCUGGGGCUGAAGUAGGUCCCAAGGGUAUGGCUGUUCGCCAUUUAAAGUGGUACGCGAGCUGGGUUUAGAACGUCGUGAGACAGUUCGGUCCCUAUCUGCCGUGGGCGCUGGAGAACUGAGGGGGGCUGCUCCUAGUACGAGAGGACCGGAGUGGACGCAUCACUGGUGUUCGGGUUGUCAUGCCAAUGGCACUGCCCGGUAGCUAAAUGCGGAAGAGAUAAGUGCUGAAAGCAUCUAAGCACGAAACUUGCCCCGA